rnacentral:lncRNA from 1 species
GAUAGGCACACAGUGAGAGAGGGAGAGGCAGAGACACAGGCAGAGGGAGAAGCAGGCUCCAUGCACCGGGAGCCUGACGUGGGAUUCGAUCCCGGAUCUCCAGGAUCGCGCCCUGGGCCAAAGGCAGGCGCCAAACCGCUGCGCCACCCAGGGAUCCCUGAAGGGAGAUUCAAAGAAUUUGUAAACGUCUUUCAGACUACUACAGUACCUAACUUGUGGUUGUCCUGAGGGUGAGAUAAGACAAAACAUGAGAAGUGCUUAGCACGACUCCUGGCUCACAUCAAGGACCGCCUGUGCAGGCUACCUUAUCAGGUAAGGCGCUUGCCUCUGCUUUUCUGUGGUUUUGCUUUCCACGGUUUCAGUUACUCGUGGUCAGCCCCUGUCCAAAGCAGAUGGUCUUCCUUCUAAGGGUCUGCUGGUCAGUAGUAGCCUAAGGCCGUGUCCCGAUGCUCACAUCAUUCUGUUCCUCUCAUCACAUAGACAUUUCAUCAUCUCAUGUCAACAAGGAGUGUGUGGCACAUUCAGAUAUUUGGAGAGCAGGACCACAUUCACAUAACUUUUAUUACAAGUUCUAUUUUAUGUUGUUCUAUUUUAUUACUAGUCAUUGUUGCUAACCUCUUACUGUGCUUGAUUUAUAAAUUAAGCUCUACCACAGGGAUGUAUGUAUAGGAAGACACAUAGUAUGUUCACGACAUGGUACUAUCUCCAGAGGUCUUGGGAUGUUCCUGCAGACAAGGGAGGGAGACUAUUCUCUUUCUCUCCCCGUACCUCGGCCACACCUGCUCAGUCGGCUCUCCUCUACCCGCACAAAGGAGAGACCAUUGUGGCUGCUAUCGUGGUGGUAAAGAGGACACAGCCCACUCUUCCACCAACUCUUAGUCCAAAGGUUCAUACUAUUUUGGACUUAAAUAAAAGUUGGGGGAGCAUUUGCCUUUUCAUUUAUCAUAACUUUUAUUUAUAUUUUCUUCUGUUAUUCUCACAAGAGGCCUUUGAGGGACGUAGAGCAAGUAGUUAAUUUUGCAAAUAAGAAAAACUGAGGCCCAGGUCUUGUUACAUAACAUCACAUAAGUAAUUAGUGGCACCACAGCAACUAGAAUCCUGGGUUCCCUGAGCCUAUGUACAGUCUCUUCUCAGACCAUCACUUCAUAGAACUGAUCUCUUAGUUCCACAAAACUGUGAACUACGUAUUUGGUUUCCUCAAAUGCUUCUUGAGUCAGGUGGGUUUUAUGGAAGAGUGUCUUCCCUUAACUAAUGCAGUCUGACUCAGAUGGGAGCAGAUUCAGAGAUUGGGCACAUGUGUCAAGACAAGGACUUGAUGUUGUGUCCUUGGUCUGACCCUAUAUCCUAGUAGGUAGAUUUGACCUUUGUAUGGGAAGGGAGAUUCCAGGAAACAGAGAGAAUUUCAAGGAUCCAGACAGAUGCUUAACCAUCUAAGCCACCCAGGCACCAGGAUGAUGAUUUUUUGCAUGGGAAUCCUAGGAGCUCCUGCACAGGACAUGCGUAGCUCCCAAAGGGGAGCCCAGACAAGGUGGAAAUGAAUGUUGGGCCCCCACACAGGAGUGGAGGGAAAGCUGGCAAAGCAUGCUCUCAGUCUGGGUGCAUUGUUUAUGGAAGAGUACCAUGAUCCGUUAAGUUCUGAGGAAAGGUAACUGACUGCAAAUGUGAAGAGUAGGAAAUUGAAGAUCAGAGGCCAGCUUAAGAAGCCUUUGCAAAGUUGUAGCUGAGAGUUCAUGUGUGAAGUAAGUCAGUGACAGCAGCAGAAGUGGGAUCAGCAAGGCUGGGCAAUCAGCUCAGUGGAGGAGCACUGAAAAGAGAAGACUUAUAGAUGACACCAUAUUUUGAACCAAGAUGAUGGGCUGGAAGCUGAGGUAUGUGGGUUGGACGGUUCCCACUGUGCCAGACUGCCACAGCAUUUAGUAUGUUUAUCAUCACUGGUUCCUGCCCACUAGUCAAGUAACCGUCCCCAGUCACUGUGACCACCAAAAUGCCCUCUACAGGGAUGGGGAUACCACUUGACAUAGUAGCCAGUAAAAAAGGUGGGUUGAAGAUGAUGAUGAAGAGUUCCUUUUCACAGCUACUUGUUUGUGGCACCAACAGAAUAAUGGUCUGGAGACACCCAGGAAGGAGGUGGAAGUUUCAGUGUCAAGCUCCUGAGGAAGGCUGUGUGUGAAGAUGCAGACCAGGACUGCAGGGUUGAUGGUUUCAACUCAUAGGAGGAGGAGAGAGCCAAAGGAAAGACACUAAAGCAGAACUUUGGAGAAUGUCGAUGGUCAAAAACCAGAAGAGUCAGAGGAAGAUGUAAAGCAAGUCAGAGUAUGAGUUGGAUCAAAACUCUGAGAAGUGAAAUGAGGCAAUCCCAAGGCAAGAUUGCAGGUGCAGCAUGCUGCUUACUGAGCGGGCACUGACAUGGGAACAAGCACAUCCAGCAACAAGGAGAUCAUGAAAGGAAAAAGUUCAAGUUUUUGAAUAGGUAAAAAUAGGGGCCCCUGGGUAGGUCAGUUUGAGCAUCUGCCUCUGGUUCCGGUCAUGAUCCCAGGACCCUGGGAACAAGUCCCCCAUGGGCUCCCUGAGGGAGCCUGCUUCUCCCUCCGCCUAUAUCUCUGCUUCUCUCUCUGUUUCCUCUCAUGAAUAGAUAAAAUCUUUAAAAAAAAAGAAAAGAAAAGAAAAAUUGGCUCAUUCAAUCGUGGGAUCCGACAAGUCCAAAAUCCCUCAAGCAGGCCAGCAGGCUGAAAACUCGGGCAAGAUUUCUGUGUUACAGUCUAGAGGUAGAAUUCCUUCUGCUCUAGGAAACCUCAGUUUUUGUCUUAAAGCCUACAACUGAUUGAAUGAGGCCCACCCCACACUACGGAGGGUUAUCAACUUUACUAAAUAAUCACCUCUACAAAAUACCUUCACAGAAACAUCUAGUGUUUGCCCAGACAACUAAGCAUAUGGUGCCUAGCCAAGUUGACACACAAAAUUAACCACCACAAGAUGCACAGUAUUUCAUUGUAGGGACAGCCAGAAUUUAUUAGACCAAUUAAUUCCAUGAUGGAGGACAUCUAGGUUAUUAUCAUUUUUUUGCAAUUACAAACUAUUCAAUGAAUUACCUUGUAUACAUGUCAUUCUAAAUAUGUGUAGAUAUAUUGUCCGAUAUUGCCAAAUUCCCCUUCAUGGCAUUUCUCCUCCUACCAGCAACAUACAAGACCGACUCUCCCCUCAGAGCCUUGACAAGAACUAAGCUGUCAAAUCGGGGAAUAUCUGCCAAUCUGAUUGAUGAAAAUGAUAGCUCCAUGUAGUUUUAAUUCUCCUUUCUCUGUGAGCAGAUAUAGCUGAAUUUCAAGGGGACAGGCCAAAUUUCAUGGGCUAGGGAACAGGUGGGUGAUGGUAAGGUGUAGAACAGAAGAAACAGGUAGUCUAAAGGGGCAGAAAUUUGGCAACAUUAGGAGAGAAUUCACUUGGUGGCCAGAGUAGCAUGUGGGUUUAAUGAAGAUGUUUUUGUUAUUUAUUUAUUCAUGAGAGACACAGAGAGAGAGGCAGAGACA